rnacentral:rRNA from 1 species
CAGAGGGUGCGAACGUUGCUCGGAAUUACUGGGCGUAAAGCGCAUGUAGGCGGAUCCAUAAGUCGGGCGUGAAAUCCCCAGGCUCAACCUGGGAACUGCGCUCGAAACUGUGGGUCUUGAGUGUCGGAGAGGAUGGCGGAAUUCCUGGUGUAGAGGUGAAAUUCGUAGAUAUCAGGAGGAACACCGGUGGCGAAGGCGGCCAUCUGGACGACAACUGACGCUGAGAUGCGAAAGCGUGGGGAGCAAACAGGAUUAGAUACCCUGGUAGUCCACGCCGUAAACGAUGGGUGCUAGGUGUCUCGGGUAUUGACCCCUGAGGUGCCGUAGCUAACGCGUUAAGCACCCCGCCUGGGAAGUACGGUCGCAAGACUA